rnacentral:rRNA from 1 species
CCUACGGGUGGCAGCAGUGGGGAAUAUUGGACAAUGGGGGCAACCCUGAUCCAGCCAUGCCGCGUGUGUGAAGAAGGCCCUCGGGUUGUAAAGCACUUUCAGUGAGGAAGAACGCCUGGUGGUUAAUACCCAUCAGGAAAGACAUCACUCACAGAAGAAGCACCGGCUAACUCCGUGCCAGCAGCCGCGGUAAUACGGAGGGUGCGAGCGUUAAUCGGAAUUACUGGGCGUAAAGCGCGCGUAGGUGGCUUGAUAAGCCGGUUGUGAAAGCCCCGGGCUCAACCUGGGAACGGCAUCCGGAACUGUCAAGCUAGAGUGCAGGAGAGGAAGGUAGAAUUCCCGGUGUAGCGGUGAAAUGCGUAGAGAUCGGGAGGAAUACCAGUGGCGAAGGCGGCCUUAUGGACUGACACUGACACGGAGGUGCGAAAGCGUGGGUAGCCAACAGGAUUAGAUACCCCAGUAGUC